rnacentral:rRNA from 1 species
UGGGGAAUCUUGGACAAUGGGGGAAACCCUGAUCCAGCCAUCCCGCGUGUGCGAUGAAGGCCUUCGGGUUGUAAAGCACUUUUGGCAGGAAAGAAACGUCAUGGGUUAAUACCCCGUGAAACUGACGGUACCUGCAGAAUAAGCACCGGCUAACUACGUGCCAGCAGCCGCGGUAAUACGUAGGGUGCAAGCGUUAAUCGGAAUUACUGGGCGUAAAGCGUGCGCAGGCGGUUCGGAAAGAAAGAUGUGAAAUCCCAGAGCUCAACUUUGGAACUGCAUUUUUAACUACCAGGCUAGAGUGUGUCAGAGGGAGGUGGAAUUCCGCGUGUAGCAGUGAAAUGCGUAGAUAUGCGGAGGAACACCGAUGGCGAAGGCAGCCUCCUGGGAUAACACUGACGCUCAUGCACGAAAGCGUGGGGAGCAAACAGG